CAGGGAGGCAACAAUUGGUUAUGUCAUCAUGCCGGUGAGAAUAAAAACAGAGACACCAAAACCCCUCAGGAUCCCAGCCAAAUCUGACCUUUACAUGACUAAUGUGACAACCUCCAAAGUCAAAGGUUCUGUGUGCACUGUAGAAGUGAACUGCUUCCGUAUAAACGACAUAUCUUCAAGGUUGAUGCAAAUAUAGCUAAGCAUGCCUAUAUGAGAUAAGCCUAUGAAUAUUGCUAAAACAUUUCCAGGAUCGAACACCAUUUUAAAAAGAUAACAGAAGAUGAAACACAUCUCCAGAAAAAGAAGCAACUGCUGACAGGUGAAAGCUAAAAGAAGAGCCUUUCAAAGAUGAUCCCUGAAAUCUUAGAAGCUAUUGUGAUUUCAAAUAAAAUUGUUGAAGAACUAAAUGGAUUAGACUCUAAAGAAAAAGAAAGGGCAGCUCAAAC